rnacentral:rRNA from 1 species
GCCCAGUGACCCGUUUAACGGCCGCGGUAUCCUAACCGUGCAAAGGUAGCAUAAUCACUUGUCCCCUAAAUAGGGACUAGCAUGAACGGCUAAAUGAGGAUCACACUGUCUCUUGUAAUUAUCUUAUGAAACUGAUCUUGUAGUCCAAAAGCUACAAUAAAAACACCAGACGAGAAGACCCUGUGGAGCUUCAAAACCAAAACCAAACUAAUGACCCUUUGGUUUUUAGUUGGGGCAACUUCGGAAUAUACAUCAACCUCCGAUAAAAUAAAUUAAGACAAACAAGUCAAAAUAAUACCCUUGACCCAAUGGUCUUUUCCCCCAGACUAUUUGAUCAAUGAACCAAGUUACCCCAGGGAUAACAGCGCUAUCCCCUUUCAGAGUCCCUAUCGACAAGGGGGCUUACGACCUCGAUGUUGGAUCAGGACACCCCAAUAAUGCAGCCGUUAUUAAAGGUUCGUUUGUUCAACGAUUAAAGUCCU